AAAAUUUAGAAAGAAACUCAAAAAGCAGCAGCCACAGAACUCUCUCUACAGUGAAAUGGCGCCGACGAGAGUCAUAGCGUCGGCUGGCAACACCGUCUCCGGUGUUUUUCUCUGCGGAGGCCAAUCGAUAGCUGCGCCUCGAAGCCUCAAUCUCUGCUUCAGAAACGGCAGAUUACUCACGCAGAGAAGGCGCCUCUUCACCUGCAAUGCCAUACACAACCCCCAAGUUCAAAUCAAGGAAGAGGGCCAGCCCGAAUCCUUCGACUACCGCGUCUUCUUCGUCGAUAAUUCCGGCAAAAAAUUUGUUUGGUGGUAUUUGACACAGAUUUCCCCCUGGCAUGAUAUUCCACUUCACUUGGGUGAUGGUGUAUUCAAUUUCAUAGUGGAGAUUCCGAAGGAAUCGAGUGCGAAGAUGGAAGUUGCGACAGAUGAAGUCUAUACUCCCAUUAAGCAAGAUACGAAGAAGGGAAAACUUCGAUACUACCCUUACAACAUUAACUGGAACUAUGGAUUGCUUCCACAAACAUGGGAAGACCCUUCACUUGCAAAUGCUGAAGUUGAGGGGGCAUUCGGAGACAAUGAUCCAGUUGAUGUCGUUGAGAUCGGGGAAAGCCAAGGAAAAAUUGGGCAAGUCAUGAAAGUGAAGCCCUUGGCUGCUUUGGCUAUGAUAGAUGAGGGAGAGCUUGACUGGAAAAUAGUUGCGAUUUCAUUGGAUGAUCCAAAGGCUUCCCUUGUUAACGAUGUUGACGACGUCGAGAAGCAUUUUCCAGGAACUCUCACUGCAAUCAGAGACUGGUUCAGAGACUACAAGAUACCUGAUGGAAAACCUGCCAACAGAUUCGGCCUUGGCAACAAGCCAGCAAAUAAGGAUUAUGCACUUAAGGUUAUUACUGAGACAAACGAGGCGUGGGCUAAACUUGUGAAAAGAUCCAUUCCCUCUGGUGAGCUAUCUCUUGUCUAAAUGAGGCUCUAACCGUUGAGCAUCCGUGCUGCCAGUUUUCAGCAUCACUGAAUAACAUGGAAAUACAUGAAUCUUUUUAUUGAAGACGAAGGAGAAAACCUGACAUGUACAUAUGAAAAAGUAGAAAACAAAGCACAUAAAUAUACACAUGGCAAUACCCACUGCCAUUUUUUGCCCCUAUAGUUGUAGUUCAGUUAUGCGUCGCCCUGUGUUGUGGUGGGCGGAGAAGAAUGGAGAUCGAUCACAGACACUUUACUGACAGGGUGUUGUUGGAAAAGAGAGUAGCUGUUUGAAAUGAGCCUUGCUAAUGAUGAUGACGAAGAAGCAGGUGCCAUCGACUUUGCUGACGGAGAGCGAGCAGAUGCCUGCGCCCGUGCACCUGCUGCUCGGUUUAACAUGAGCAUGGCUGCUGUUGGUGCCAUUGCAAAUUAUCUGCAAUAUGAGAGUUAGAGGAGAUGGUUGGUGGUUAAAUUAUUUGUGUAUGAUGAUGAUGAUGAUGAGUUGGGUUGGAUAAUAUAGAGAAGCAGUGGGGCCAGUUUCUCUAUCAUUAAUUUCUUUGGCUCGUGGUUUGCACUGCUUGUAAAAAUCCAUACCAGAAACGGCUCCCGGUUUGCUCUUGACUUAUAUAGCACACAGCAUUCUCAUGCUUA